CAGGCCCCAUUUGGUGCAGACCUGUGCAGGCCCCAUUUGGUGCAGACCUGUGCAGGCUCUAUGUAUGCCGCCUCAGUCCCUGGGAGUUUGUGUAUAUGAUGAUCUUGUUUCUUUAGAAAGCCUUGUUUUCUUGAUGUCCUCCAUCACCACUGACUGGCUCUUGUGCUCUUUUUACCUCCCCUUCUGAGGAGUUCCCUGAUUCCUGAGGGGAAGGAAGUUGAUGGAGACAUCCCAUUUAGAGCUGAAUGUUUCAAGGUCUGCUCUCUGCAUAAUGUCUGACUGUAGGUCUUUACAUCUGUUCUCAUCUGCUGCCGGAGGAACCUCUGUUGAUGAUGACUGAAUAAGGCACUGAUCUAUAAUAUAGCAGAAUAUCAUUAACAGUCACUUUAUUGUUACUUUUUUUUUUUUAAGACUAGUAGUAUUUUGCUUUACCCUAGGUCCCUUGGCUAGCUAGUCUCUGGCUGUCGAUCACACAAGCAGUAUCCAGUAUGGGUUCCAUCUCAUGGAGUAGUCCUUAAGUCAAAUCAGACAUUGGUUGUUUACUCCCAUAAGCUUUGUGCCACCAUUGCCAUGGCAUAUUUUGCUGGCAGGACAGAUUGUAGAACAAAGGUUUAGUGGCUAGAUUGCUAUCUACAUUUCCUUUUUGGUAGUCUGAAAAGUACCUUCCUGUACCAAAGAUACUAGAACAUAGGGGUGAAGGUUCAAUGUAGGCACCAGAUCACCCUCUCCAUGUUCAAAAGAGUUGUGUUGGUGUUGUCUUUAGCAACCUAUUGUCUUGGCAGAAGCCUGGAUUGUUUGGUGAUUCCCAUGGGACCCCUUUGGCCGACAGCUCAAUAGGAUGUUAUCCAGUCCUGGUAAUAGAAGCUUCAUUUGGUAAAAAGUGACGGCCAGUUGGGACUCUGUCUCCCCCAUUAUUUGGCAAUUUCAUUUAGAUUGUCUUUAUAUUUGUAUAUGUUUUAGGAGACAUCUAUUAUGUUUCCAUACUACCCCUCAAAUGCCCUUAAUUUUAUUUGUUUCUCUCCAUACUCCUUUCUUCAUCCUCCUCUCUCCUACCCCUCCCCUGUUGCAGGAUAUUUGAGCAAACUGUGUAAAGAUGUCUUGCUGUUUUACCUUGCCUGCCUAAGGCACCUGAUUGGUUUAAUAAAGAGCUGGAUGGCCAAUAGCUAGGCAGGGGAGGUUAGGUGGGACUUCCAAGCAAAGAUAGGAACUCUGAAGAGAGGCAGAUUUCAUCAGUGAGCUGUGGAGGGAGGCAGACAUACAUUAUGGAGGAAAGGUAAAGAGCCACAUGGCAGACCAUAGAUUAAUAAAAAUGGAUUAAGUUAUAGGAGAUAGUUCUGAGUAAGCCUAAGCUAAGGCCAAGCUUUCAUAUUUAGUAAAAAGUCUCCAUGUUGUUAUUUGGGAGCUGGUGGUCCCAAAAAGAAAGUCUGACAAUAUUCUCCACUUGAUCCUCCCAUUCCAGUCCCCUCUACCCCCAUCCAUUCAUAACUAUAUAUUUCCCUUUCCUGGAGAGAUUUAUCUUCCUCCCCUAGUCCCUUACUCUGUACCUAACAUCUGUGGGUCUGUGGACUGUAGCUUAGUUAUCAUUGACUUAACAAAUAUCUACAUACAAGUGAAUACAUACCAUACUUGACUUUCUGGGUCUGGAAUACCUCACUUACAAUGAUUUUUUUUCUAGUUCCAUCCGUUUUCCUGUGACUUUCAUGUUUUCUUUUUUUUAACAGCUGAGCAGCAUUCUAUUGUGUAAAUGUGCCACAUCUUCUUUAUGAAUUCAUCUGUUGAGGGGCAUGUAGAUUGUUUCCAAUUUCUGGCUAUCAUGAAUAGAGAAACAAUGGGCAUGGUUGAGCAAGUGUGUCUGUGGUAAGAUGAUCCAUCCUUUGCAUAUAUGUCCAAGAGUGGUAUAGCUGGAUCUUGAGGUAAAUUGAUACCCAUCUCCUGAUGACUAAGGAUGUUGAACAUUUCUUUAAGUGUUUCUCAGCCACUUGAGUUUUGUUUUUUCAGAAUUCUCUGUUUAGAACUGUACCCCAUUUUCAAAAUUGUGUUCUUUGUUGUUAUUUUGAUAUCUAGUUCUUUUAGUUUUAAAUAUAUUUUUAUAUUGGCCCUCUAUCAGAUGUGGAGUUGAUAAAUAUCUUUUCCCACUCUGUAGACUGCCAUUUGUCCGAAUGAUGGUGUCCUUUGCCAUGUAGAAGCUUUUCAGUUUCAUGAGGUCCCAUUUAUUAAUUGUAAAUCUUAGUGCCUAUGCUAACAGUGUUCUGUUCAGAAAGUCUUUUCCUGUGCCAAUGAGUUCAAAGCUAUUCCCCACUUUCUUUCCGAUGGGUUCAGUGCACCUAGUUUUAUGUUCAGAUCUUCGAUCCAUUUGAAUUUGAGUUUUGUGCAGGGUGAGAAGUAUGGAUCUAUUUGGAUUCUUGGAGUGAGAAGAGGCCACAACAGACAGUCAGCUACAGAGCUGGGAAUGAGACUGAGGAACUGGGUAUGGAGGAGAGGAUGUGGAGUGUGGAUCUGAAGCUGGCCUGCCUGCUUAGCUGGCCUACUUUCCUCCCUCUCAGGCUUGGCCAGAGGUUCCCAGAAAAUUCCUGUUGGAAUUGGGGGCUGGGAUAAGAGGAUGAGUGGGGGGGAAGGUUGGAAGAGAAGGUCUGUGUGAUCUUCCAGGGGAGGCAGAGAGGAGGGGGAAACCGCAGCAGGUGGUUCGCUAAGAGUUAGGGGUGGGAUUAGAUUUGGAGGUAAGGAGGCAGAUCUGCAGUUAGGCUGCCUGUUUUCCUAGCUGGAGUAGCCUAUGCGGCUCCCAGAGAAUGCCUGCUGGAAUUGGGGACUGGCAUAAAGAGAUAAGUGCAUGGAAGGAAGGUUGUAGGGAAAGAUCUGUGUGAUCUACUAAACAUGGGAGCAGAGAGGAAAGGGUGUUCACACCAGGUGGUCUGUUAUAGAGCUGGGCAUGAAACUGGGGGAUUGGACUUGGAGAAAUGGAGAGAGAGGUGAAGAUCUGAAAUUAGCCUACUUGUUUCCCUAUUCUCUCUCUCUCUCUCUCUCUCUCUCUCUCUCUCUCUCUCUCUCUCUCUCUCUCUCCCUCUCUCUGCCUCUCUCUCAUAGAUAAUAGAAACCUACAGUUCAUUUACUCUAGAGACUAAAGCUUCUGUUAAUGUUUAUUGCUGUGCCAAUUCUCCUUUUAAGUUGUUGUUGCUCUUUUUGUUUUGUUUUGCUUUAUUUAUUUAUUUAUUUUUAUUUUUGUUUGUGAGGCAGGGUCUUUCUAGGUAGCCUUGGCUGGCCUAAUACUUUCUAUGUAGUCCAAACUGUCCUUGAACUGACAAUCCUCCUGAGUUAACUUCUUCAGUGCUGGGAUUACACGUGUAUGCUACCCCACCUGGAUGAGUUUGUUCUUAUUAUUCAGACUUUCUUCUUGUAUAUUAACUUGUUUUUUAUUUUUAUUUGUUGACACUCUGACAGAAUACCUGGUAGAAACAACUUACCAGGAAAGGGGAUUGGGUUAGGCUGAGUCUCAGAGGACUCCACCCGCCAUGGUGGAGACACGGAGGGAGAAAUGGCUGAGUCUGGGUAUGGUCUUAGUCUGUGUCGGUGGGAGUACCAGGCAAAUGAUCACUUCUCGGUAGCUGACCUGGAAAGAGAACUAGACUGGAUCCAGUGGCGUAUAGAGUUGCUUCUGCUCACGAGGCCACACACUCCCAAAGCUCCACAGCCUCUCAAAACUGUACCAGCAGCUAAUGAGUUUUCAAAUACGUGAGCUACCAGGGCCAUGCCGUACCAAACAAGGCUACCUUGAGUCUCCUCACUGUUAAUCUUUGUUCAGGUGAACUGGAAGGGUCCUUAGAGAAGGAGUGAGCUGAACUGCUAAACAGAGCUCUGUUAUUCUGUUAGAUCAAUACAUGUUCACUUGUUCUGAGGAUUAAGAAAAUGCACAACCACACACAGACAGAAAUGUAUAGGUUUCAGUUCAAAGGUCUAGAGGGUAUAUUUUAUAACAAUAUCUCUUUUGACUCAUACAGAACAUUUAUUUGUUGUCUUCCUGUGCCAUGUUGUGAGUCUGAGGAGUAAAAUUACUGUUUUAAGUUACUCUACAUAAAUAAAACAUGCUCAGGAACAAGCAAGUUAAAUGUUUGAUUUCAAAUUAACUUUGCUUUCCCGUCUAUCUAAUUACAAUUUUCUCAAGUAGAUCCAUGAGAUUUGAUGGUAAGGAAAGCCAUGAACGGCAAGUUUGGUGUGAGACUUGGACCCAGGUCCACCUUAUUCCAGAAAGCAGUGUGUACUUGCCUGUUCUUGUCUGUCUCACAGAAAUGCAUGGAGAGCAACUACAAGAAUAUGAUUGUUCCCAACGGUAGUAAAACCUUCAAGUUAAUUAAUUGAAAAGAGAACACAAUGAGAUGUUUUUAUGGGGGCUAGUGUUGUUUUUCUACCUGUUUUGAAAAUUACCUUUUAUUUUUUAAGAUUAUGAUAUAAUUAUAUCAUUUCCCCCUUCCCCUCACUCCCUUCAAAUUCUCCCAUAUAUCAUCCCCAUCUCCUACCCUUCUUUCAAGCUCAUGGCCUCUUUUUUUCAUUUGGUGGCUUUGGUGUGUGUGUGUGUGUGUGUGUGUGUGUGUGUGUGUGUGUGUGUGUAUUCCUAAAUACAUAAAUACAACCUACUAAUUAUAUAUAAUGUUAUUUGCAUGUAUGCGUUUUCAGGGCUGACCAUUUGGCCAUUUGGUAUUGGAUAGCCAAGGGGUGUGCUCUUCUUGGGGAAAACAAUCUCUCCUGCUUUUAACAUUCCUGGUUGCCAGUAAUUCUUUGGUAGGGUUGAGGCCUUAUGAGAUUCCCACCAUCCACAUCAGCAUGCCUGUUGUUAUCCUUGUACAGGUCAUGUUCAGGCAGCCAUGCUCAUGAGACUUCAUGGAUGUAGCAUCUGACAUGUCUACGAGACAUAAUCUCACAGCAGACUUCUUGUUCCUCCAGCUCCUGCAAUCUUUCUUCCCUCUUCUGAAAUGAUUCCUGAGACUUAGGGGCAGGAGUCGGUUGUAGGUGAAUCCGCUGGAGCUGGUCUCCACAGGUCUGAAAAUUGAUCCGCUGUGAUGCUGUGAUUUUCUGAUGUUCUCUGCCCAUUGCAAAGAGAAGUCCCUGUGACGAAAGGCAGGGACUACACUUAUAUCUGAAGAUUAGGAGCUAGGAAACUCAGAUGAGACAGAAUAUAUGACGUUUGACUUUCUGGGUCUGGGUUACCUCCCUCAGUAUGAUCUUUUCUAGUCCUACCACUUAUCUUGCUAGAUGUUAGAGAAGGAUCUCUUCAGCCACUUUGUUUGUUUUUUGAGACAGAGUUUCUCUGUGUAGCCCUGGAUGUCCUGGAACUUGCUCUGUAGACCAGACUGGCCUUGAACUCAGAGAUUUGUCUGCCUCCGGAGUGCAGGGACUAAAGGUAUGCACCACCACGGCCUGGCUUAUGUUGUUUGUUUGAGACAAGCUUCCACUUCGAAGCCAUUGGCUGGUCUGGAACUUGCUAUGGGGAGCAGAUUGGUCUCAAACUUGUGUUCUUUUUCUACCUUUGAAAAUUAGUUUUCUAGUUGAGCAGUGGUGGCAUAUGCCUUUAAUCUCAGCACUCAGGAAGCAGAGGCAGGCAUAUCUCUGAAUUCCUAGCCAACCUGGUCUACAGAGAGAGUUUCAGGACAAGCAGGACAAACAGAGAAAUCCUGUUAUAAUAAAAAACAAAACAGAAAUUAAACAAUUUUUGACAUUUAUGAAUAAAUAUAUUGCCUUAAUUCAACCAAAACUAACAUGACUAUCUAGUAGUUGGUUUGGGGAAUUUCUUUUAAUAGAUUAUAAAUUAACAUACUAAAACUUCUGUAUGAAAUAAAUGAUAGUUCCUAAUUCAUGGUCUUUAGAGUUUUGGGCUGGGGAUGUAGCUCCAUGGUUGAGUGUUUUGCCUAGCAUGUGUGAGGCCCUGGCUUCAGUUCCAUGCAUGCAGAAAAAGGGGAGCAGGAGUGCAGCUACAGCAAGUACAAAGCCCCCGUGUUCAACACCCAACACCUCAUGCACUAGGUGUGGGAGUCUCGGAAUUCAGGAGGAGGAAGUCAGAAGCUAAGCAUCAGGAGCUGGAGACCAGCCUCAGCUUCCUGAGACCCCGACUCAGACACACUGGAAAGGCUGAAGGAAACCUGACAUGGGACCGAGAGAAAUAUAAAGACGGAGGCAGCUGGAGGUCACACAAUGGAAGUGAUUGUGAUUUACCAUGGUGUACAGGUGCUGGUGAUUGUACUCAAGGCCUUACAUGCACUAGACAAGGCAUUGCAGCCUACAGGAGGGACUUGUCUACUGCUGAAAAUCAGGAUCUCUAACUGAGCAUGGAGCUCGCUGACCUGAGUAGGUUGAAUGGCCAAUGAGCUCCAAGGAUUCACCUGUUGCCCCACCCACCCCCUGAACCGGAGGCACAGAGGUUAAAAAGGUAGAUACUUGAGCCCUGAACUGAGGGCUGUGACUCAAACAUCCCAUUUAAGGAUGAGUAUUCCGAAGUCUCUUUUUCUCUGUGUGUCGAUGAGUUGUGGGUUCCAGUGUUCAUUGCCAUCUACUCCAAGAAGUUCCUCUGGUGAGGAAGAGCAAUGCACCAGUCUGAAGUUCUGGUUCAGACUCCAGCUUCAGAUUCCAAACAGUCUCAGAUUGUCAUGGUGAAACUAUAAAUGAGAGGGCUAAUUAAGACCUGCUGUUUCCUGAAACUUUGUGUGCACGGCCUCAGGAAUGAGACUCAUGCAGCUUUACUUGAAGGGCUACGUGUAAUCUUUAGAGAAAACCCCAGCAUUCUAGUACGUUCUCUCAAACACAGUCCCUACUUAAGACUGACAGUGGAUGUAGACUUCAGUCUAUGGUAAACGUGAAGCCUGGCUGUGGAGCUGCCUGGGUGAAAACUCAGACUCGGGUGAACAUCACGCAUUUAGGCUUCAGCUGCUAAUCUUAGCCAGUAUUUCCAAACUGAUGGAAACACCGUGUCGGAUCACUCAUUUUCUGUCUUCCGACAUUUUCUUACAUGUAUCCUUCCCUCUGCCUUGCAAAGGGUGGCAGUCUCUGUUCCGAGAAGGUGCGAAGCCACUUGGAGGAACUAUAACAACAACACAGAAACAUGUAAAAGAUUAGUUCUCACUGAGGUGACAAAUGGCCUGAACGGAGCAUCAGCUCACGAGCGCCCAGGUCAUCUGUUCUCCUUAGGGGGAAAAGAAGUCUAUUUUCUUUUCCUAAUGUUACCUUCUUGUUAAAUGGUUCCAAAGUAGAGUUUAACUACAAGAAUGAAAGAAAUGAAGAAAAAUAAGUAAACCUGCCAACGUUUUCUUAGGUUAGUGACAUAUUCAUGUGGCUUGUCACCAAAUGUGACAAUCCUGUGGUGGCAAAUCUCCCAGUCAGAAUAAUAAGUGAUUUCCACUCCCUUAAAAGAAACUUAAAAGUGUCUCAAGUAGAAAAUAUGAGCUGCUCACAACUUAGCACAAAACCAAUCUCAAGGCUAGGUAUUCUGAACCAAUGUCUCUGCUAAUGCUAUUAAACUAUACAAAAUAAUUUUUUGAAGUUUGUAUUUCCUAAAAACUGUACUCUAAAAGGAAACCACAGGUUCGAGAGGUGCCUCAGUGGGUAAGAGCAGAGAGGACCCAGUUUGGGUUCCCAACACACAUAUGAUGGUUCACAACCCUCUGUGACUCCAGUUCCAGGGGCUCUGACACUCUCUUCUGAGCUCCCUAGGCACCAGAUCUGCACAUGGUAAACAGACGUUCCUGCAGGGAGACCACUCACACACAUAAAAUAAAAUAAAUAAAUGUCUGCUUUGGUUUGUUUGUCUUUUUAAGGAAACUGACUUGGUGUCCCAAUCUUGAUCAAGAAGCAAGGGACCUACUUCAGAUAGCAUACUGCACAUCAAGGCAAAAAGGACCAACUCACCUCGGUGAUGGUGGCACACACCUUUAAUCCCAGCACUCGGGAGGCAGAGGCAGGUGAAUCUCUGUGAGUUCGAGGCCAGCCUGGUCUACAGAGUGAGUUCCAGGACAGCCAGAACUGUUUCACAGAGAAACCCUGUCUCGAAAAACCAAAAAAUACAAAAAAAAAAAAAAAAAAAAAAAAAAACAGGACCAACUCACAGUUGACAGUCACCAUGUGUUACUAUAUAGCCUGCAAGCUGACAGACCCAAGACCCAAAACUCUAAACCAAGAGGAAAAAGCCAACACAAAAACUCCCUUUUCCAAUUCAUGGUACAGACUUACUGGUUACCUCCCCAAGCUGUAGUGGGGCAGAAGUUCCCCCUCCCCCUUCUAGUGCUGGGCAGUGUAUUGGUUUGGUAGUGUGUUGCCUCAGAGAAUCUUCCAUCACCUACAUGCACGCUCUUGCCUUGACAAUCAUCAACAGGCAGACCCUCAUGUGGUCACCUCUUCUAACAAACUCCAUAGCUCCCCUGGGUCCCCUUUGGUACAUUUUUGCUUCAUCCAAGACCAGGCUGGGGCUUUUCUCCCAAGCUCAAAGCCCCAGGCCACAUAAGGGCAGAGCAGACACGUCGGAGCUGCUCCUGGCACCAACGAAAAUUAUUUGCCCCAAGAGGCAAACACAGCCCAGGCAGUGUCCAGGGUAUCAAUCCCUCUCUUCUCUGUUAUAAAAGGUCCUAUUGUAGAGACACAAAUCAUUCAGAGAUGGCAUAGACAAUGUCUAAUCAGUUAAUAGCCACUGAACACCCACUGGGUACUGGCCCCAAACUAGACGCCGCCUGUACCGUAUUCACUGGAGAAAAGCAGGAAAGGACAUGACUCACACAGAUUUAUAUUCAUCUCCUCUUCCAGCUCAGGACACUGGGGCAAACAUGGAUCCUUUAAACAAAAAGUAGACAAUGGCAGCUAUAACAGACAUGAGAUUACUUUUAUCUCUGGGCGGCAAGGUGGCGGAUAAAGCACCCGGGAAUUACUCACACUGACCUACGUUGGGGCCCUGCCUUUGUAAUAAAUAAAUCGGGGACACUGCUUUAUGAAAUUUACUGAAUUCUCCCUGAGAGUCUCCUUCCUUCCUUGUGAAACACAAAUGACAACGUCUACGUCAUGAGUUCUGUGGAGAGCUGCAGCGUUCGGAAGUGCUGGAUGCUUGUGAGGCUCGCCCAUGACACUCAGUGGUGACACUCUCUCCCCCAUGUCUAGAAUUAGAAACGCUUGUCAAAAGGCUCUUACAUACUGGGUCCUAUUUGAUCCUCACGCAAGUCCUGCUCACAUACACUUUAAUGCCACGGACAGCCUCUCAGGUCUUCAGGUUUCCUUUUGUUACCCUUUCGGAAAUGUAAUUGAGACAAAUCUGUUUGUUUUCUGAAUUUACCUUUCCUCCUUGGCAAGCGUUAAAAAAAAAAAAAAAAACCUGAAGCUGUGAAAGGGUUAAUUUUAUUCCGGUGUUCCAGAUGUCUUCAGCACCUUGACUUCGGUAAUAUAUUAAGAACAGUAAGUCUUUCUAAUGAAAGUGAAAGGUAUGCAUUGUGCCUAACUGAACCGCUUUCCCCUGAAGAAACGCGGCUGCCGGACUGCGUCCCGCCAUGUUCGACAGGCAGAGGAUGUGGCGCAGGAAGAGGGAAGAGUGCCAAUCUCUGGCUAAUGGUUCCAAACAGGGCCCGGGCCCAGCUCUUUGGAUGCUGAUGAGUGGGAAAUGAAACACAGAUGGGUCAGAUGGGUAAGGAGAGGGGGAUUACAGGUCAGGCCAAAGAGUUGGAAUAAAUUAAGUGCUUAUGAGGUACAGAAUGGCACAUUGUUUAAGUGAAUGGACAGGGGAAAAACAUUCCGGCAUUGUUUGGACCAGUGAGGGAACUCAACAUUCCUCCUCCCGGACCCGCAUAGGCUGCAGAUCCGCAUCCGCAGGAUGUGUGUGAACAAAACCCCAAAAUACAGCCAAUGGAGGCCGGGAGCAUUCUUCCCCACCCCGAGGAAGCUGAUUUUGUUUUAUUACACAUGAGAUGUAAUUUAUUGGGAGAAAUGUUUGGGUUCAUGUCAGAUCAUGGAGAAUCAGGUUUGGGGUUCCCCGGAGAUCUCUGAGGAGAAGGUGAGUAACCACAAAUUAAUGCAGCAGGGAAAUAAACCCACAAAAGAAACGUUGCGUUGUGCUGGAAACAUUGAACCAAUUUCACCCUUUUUAGCUUUUUAAAACUUUGCUCACAAAUCAAAAAUCAACUUCAGAAAACUAAGCAGAGCCUAUAAGGCAUGAAAUCAACAUAGAAAACAAAAAAGUGGAUGCGAUAGAUAAUUGUAUUCUUAGUUUGAGGGUUCUUCAUACUAUAGGUAAAGUAGCAAGCAUGGCGUUUUAAGGCAACUCGAACAGCAUGAAAACAAAUGGGAACCAGUGAGAUGGAGGAUAAGGGUGCUGGCCACCAAGCCUGAGCUUGACCUCCGGGACCCACACAGUAGGAGAAAACAAAUUCCUCCCAGGUAUCCUCCGACCUCCACAAGCAAACCUCGGCCAGGACGUGUAGACACGCUUUCACACACAAAUAAAUGAGCAUUUAAAAAAAAUAAGCCAUAUAGGUAACUUUAAAAAUGAAGUACUCAUGAUGAUAGUGGAUCUGUCCGUUCUGUGAGAGAAAAAUCAUAAAAGCACAAUGUAUAUACAUGACUGGUUCUUUAAUAUUAGGUAAUUAUAGGACAAAUUGAAUGUGUUUCCUUGAUGAUAUAAAGCCAAUGAAAUGUUAAGGGCAGGAAAUGUCAUACACAGAAAGAGAGCUCUCAAGUGCACUUGCCAAAAAAAAAAGAAAACUUUAAACUUGUAAUUAAUGGUUUAUUUUUUAGUAUGACAGGAAUUAUUUUCAGAGGCUUAUUUUCAUACCUGCUAUGUCUCCAUUUUAUGGACUUGACUUUUACCUGAAUAUUCCAAAGGCAAAACUGGAGACAGUUGUUGUCUACAUCACACCCUACGGAUGCUCAAACCUCACAUAUUAAGCUUCUUGACCUAUCGAUGCCAUUGUGUUCUAGUUCCAGAGUCCACCCAACAACAUUGCAAGCAAUCAGCGAGACAUUCUCGUGAACUGUCUCUGCAGAGUCUAGUGAUUCUCAUUGUUAUUAUUUUUUUAAAGUUCAUCCAGCAAGUAAUGAGAUUGUAUGUGUGUCAGCAAAUACUGGGGUUGUAUUUGUAUGUCACAGUAUUUUCUACCACUUAAGGCUAUCUUCAAACUGAGCUUGUCCACCUGGACAGUGGUGGCACAUGCCUUUAAAUCUCAGAACUCAUAAGGCAGAGACAGAAAGAUCUCGAGUUUGAAGCCAGCCUGACCUACAGAGUGAAUUCCAGAACAGAGAAACUCUGUCACAAAAAAACAAACAAAAAAAGGAAGUAAAAACCAACACCAAACAAAUAAACAAACCUGAGCUUGUCUUCUAAAAAUCUAAAUAGCUUACCAUUUCCCCCUGAUCUUCUCCCCUUCAAAAUUUUGUUGUACACUGCUCUGAGUCUUGGGAAGGAAUUUCAAGAAGAAACGAUCAAUUUAUAAAGCAAAAUUUAAAACUGACCAUGAUACAAGCAUUGGUAUUAAGAGAUGGAGAGAGGGAAAAAAUGGCUCUAGACACAUUUCUCCCUUAUGCUGAGCAAAAACAUUAAACUGUUACUCAUGGAAAGAAGGGCAUAGACCCAUCAGAAACUAAUAUCCGGUUUGUGGAUAUUGCUCUUUCCUUUCCAAUAAAAAGGAUGAUGUUUUUCAGUCUUUAUUUUUUCACUCUCACAUUUAAAAAAAGAAAGAAAAGGGACAACGGAAAAUGUUGGUAGAAGACUCUAAAAGGCAAAGUUGCUUUAAAUGAAUUAAAUGAGUAUGUGUUGUAACAUGAAAUGGAAGGUAAUUCUUUUCAGAAAAAAAAUACAAGUACAAGGACAAGGAUCCUGCUAAACAGCUGCUUUCCCUGUAGCACACUUGCAGUGGGACAUAAAAAAGUGUCAGUGGAGUGCAAUAACCAUAGAGCUCCCUAAUCAUCUUGCCGGGGCCAGACCUGAAGGGAACAGGGGGAGCUGAGUAACAGAGAGGCACUUGUGUACCUUUAAGGGUUCCCCAGAUAGUGUUAGUGAGGCUAGGGUUAGAACCCAGCAGUCCAGUCGACGCUCUCCAAUGAAGGCGUAACAUAAUACAUGGUACAUAAGCUUCCAUAGUAAUUGCCCGUCAGUAGGAAAAAGAGGAUGAGAAAGAUGAGAGCCCUGACCCAUCAGGCAGUGGUAGCUCCAUGCAGCCGAGCCUGGCUGCACUCAUAAGGUCCCUCACAAAUCCCUUAGGUUUACCAGAUUGGACGAACACUGUCACACAUAGCUAUCUCGCGUAGUGUAAGGAAAAGAACAGCCACAUUGCUCUGUGGUUACCCUUCAAUCAUUAGGAAAAUUUUUCUUUCGGUGUUUUGUCAGGCCAGUGAGAUGGCUCAGCGCACAAAGGUGUUUGCCACUGUGGCUAACAACCUGACUCCUGUCCUCAGAACCCACAUGGUCGAAGGAGAGAAGCAACUCCUGUGAGCUAUCGACCACCUGCUGGCCUCCACACCCAUGAAUAGCAUGCGCUCACAUACCCACCAAAUAAAUAAAUAUUUUGAAAAAGUGUUUUAUACUUUAUAUGCUCCAGACCCUACAAAACCUGAAUCCCCUCCUGGGAUUUCCACUUCGGAGGCAGAACUGUGGAAAUAGUUGGAGGGGCAUAGGGGGAGUACGUGUUUGUUUCUUGAUAUGUUUGGCUUGUGGCUGGAGUGAGUUCGGCCAACGCUAUCUGUUGAUAACUAAAUAUAUGCAUGGCCCAUGAAAUAAGACUGGAAACUAAUUUCUUUUGAUCCCAAUAUGCUGCUGUUGUUCCAUCUUCAGACUAUGGACAGAGGUCAGAUAUAGAGACCAACCUAGGCAGUCUCCUCAGAGUGAGCCAACCGUCUCCAAGUUAUUAUUUCUCUUCCUUUCUCUGUUAAAAAAAAUACAAUGUAAACAAAAAUUUCUGGACUUGGGGCCACAGUGAAGGAAAUUCCUUUACCACCACUGACUUUAGAAAUAAAGAAGUAUUGACUGAUUAUCUGCAAACACAUCAUGGUGCCACGUUUGCCUCGGAGAAAAGGAAGUCUGCUCCUCUGGUAAGUUUGCCUUGGACUCGCUUAUAAACAGAGGUGGGUGUGGACAAGAGACUCCUCAGGGGAAGAUGUGACUUUUAACCAUGACACAGUGGAGAUAGCCGUACUAUGAAAACCUAGCCACAGACAAGCCAGGCAGGACUGGAGAAAGGAUUCGUUGCUAUUUUCUAAAGGACAUCACUCCCUUAUAAGAAUUCUUAUGAUUGUUCAUUGGUAACACAUAUAAGAAAAAUAUAUCACCCUGAAAAUAAAAACAAAUUCACGUGAUUUUCAGAGUGAAGGUAAAUGUAUUGUUGAGACACGUGGUGACAUUGUGUCCCCCAAAAUAUUGUGCACCAUAAUAAACUUAUCUAGGGUCAGAAAACAGAAUAACCACUAUAUUAAACACAGAGGUUAGGCAACGGUAGCACAUGCCUUUAAUCCUAUCACUUGGGAGGCAGAGAUCUGUCUGGAUCUCUGUGAGUUCAAGGCCACACUAGGAACAGCCAGGUGUGGUGGCACACACCUUUAAUCCCACCACUUGAUUAUCUCAUGUCUUUGCUUGGGAAAGACACAAGCCUUUAAUCCCAUGAAGUGACGGCAGGAAGCAGAAAGGUAUAUAAGGCACGAAAACCAGGAACUAGAGGCUUUUAACCUUUUAAACUUUUAGCAGCAGUUCAGUUGAGAUCCACUCAGAUGAGGACUCAGAGGCUUUCAGUCUGAGGAAACAGGAUCUGAUGAGGAGAUGGCGAGGUGAGGUUAGCUGUGGCUUGUUCUGCUUCUCUGAUCUUUUAGCAUUCACCCCAACACUUAGCUCCUGGGUUUUUUAUUAAUAAGAGCUUUUAGAAUUUCGUCUACAGAGAUGUAGUCGUUGUACAUAAUGUUAGCUUCAUAAAGAUAGUUUUCUUUCAAAUAUAUCCUAUUUUGUGCUACAUACCUCACCUUUACUCCCCUCCCAUAUGUCACCUUUUUUCUCUGUCUCUCUUCUCUUUCUUGUCCUAAGGAUAGUGAGAGAGGGGAGGGAUUGCUUUACGUAUUAGUUUUUUAAUCUCAGAUCCACAAGUGCGAGACAAUAUGCAAUAUUUGCCCAAGUCUUGCUUGCUUUCUUAAUUUGCUUUACAGUUGAAUCUAUUUUCCAGAAAACAGAAUAAUUUCAAUGUUCCUCCCAGCUGAUUAAAACUCCACUGUUGAUGUUCAACCACGUUGUCUUGUUCUGUUCAUCUGCCGACAGGCAGCGGGGUUGAUUCUGAACUUGGCUGUUAUGGCUUCCAUGAACAUCAUGUGCAAGGACUUCUGGGCUGUGCUUAUUUAGAGUCGCCUGAAUAUGUACCCAGAAGUGGUCUAGCGUAGUCAUGUGUUAUCUCUAACUUUUAUUUAUUUGAGGAACCCCCAUACUAAUUUCCACAGGACUAGUCUAGUUUAUAACCCCAUCAGCAAUGUGGAAGUGUUCCCCCUUCCCUCCGUGAUUACCAGCAUUUGUCUAUUGGUUUUCUUUUUGUCAGGCUUUUCUGACUGGGGUGAGACCACACUUCAAUAUAUUUUCCAUUUGCAUUUCCCUGAUGGCUAAUGGUGUCCACCAUUAUUUUAUAUUUAUUGGCUAUUUGUACUUUGUCUUUUGAGAAGUGUUUGUGCCUUUCAUUAAUUCACUUCUUGUUUGAUUUUUCCAGUAGUUUAGGAGCUUCAUACAUUCUGGAUAUUAAGCCUCAGUGUGAUGAUUUUCUCCAGUUGUGAAAGCUGUCUCUUUACUCAAUGAAUUGUCUCCUUCCCUACGCCAAUGCUUCUUCAUGUCAUCCCACCCCAUUGGUCAGCUCUCAGUGUGAUUUCCUGAGCUGGAGAUUAAAUUUAAAGGAAAUAUUUCUGCAGCCCUGUCAGCCAGGCCAGCAAUAGACCCCGUAGACUGGUUCACCGCCACAGAGUCACUUUACAGCACUCGGGUGUUUGCUGUAUGCUUCAUUAAAGUACUGCUCUGCUGGGAAAGACCAGAUUUCCAAAUGGUGACUUUAUUGAUUCAAUAAAAUUGAAGAAAUUCUGCUUAUGGAAAAACUCAUUAACCAAAACUAAUAAAUAAGAGUUUACCCUGCA